UACGAAGGGGGCUAGCGUUGCUCGGAUUGACUGGGCGUAAAGGGCGCGUAGGCGGUUCGUACAGUCAGACGUGAAAUUCCUGGGCUCAACCUGGGGGCUGCGUUUGAGACGGGUGUGCUGGAGGGCAGGAGAGGCUCGCGGAAUUCCCAGUGUAGAGGUGAAAUUCGUAGAUAUUGGGAAGAACACCGGUGGCGAAGGCGGCGAGCUGGCCUGUACCUGACGCUGAGGAGCGAAAGCGUGGGGAGCGAACAGG
rnacentral:rRNA from 1 species